AGAGCGAACGCUGGCGGCGUGCCUAACACAUGCAAGUCGAACGUGAACGGGGGCAACUCCUAGUAAAGUGGCGUACGGGUGAGUAACGCGUAGGUAAUCUACCCCAGAGUCUGGAAUAACCGGCCGAAAGGCUGGCUAAUACUGGAUAGAGCGACGGAACCCGUAAUCGGGUUUUUCGGGAAAGGGAGCUCGCAAGGGCCCUCGCUUUGGGAUGAGCCUGCGUCUCAUUAGGUAGUUGGUGGGGUAAUGGCCUACCAAGCCUUUGAUGAGUAGCUGGUCUGAGAGGAUGAUCAGCCACACUGGAACUGAAACACGGUCCAGACUCCUACGGGAGGCAGCAGUGGGGAAUCUUGCGCAAUGGGGGAAACCCUGACGCAGCAACGCCGCGUGGAGGAUGAAGCCCCUUGGGGUGUAAACUCCUUUCGAUCGGGAAGAUAAUGACGGUACCGAUAUAAGAAGCCCGGCUAACUUCGUGCCAGCGAGCCGC
rnacentral:rRNA from 1 species